rnacentral:rRNA from 1 species
UACGAAGGGGGCUAGCGUUGCUCGGAUUGACUGGGCGUAAAGGGCGCGUAGGCGGUUCGUACAGUCAGACGUGAAAUUCCUGGGCUUAACCUGGGGGCUGCAUUUGAUACGUGUGAUCUAGAGUGAGGAAGAGGGUCGUGGAAUUCCCAGUGUAGAGGUGAAAUUCGUAGAUAUUGGGAAGAACACCGGUGGCGAAGGCGGCGACCUGGUCCUUGACUGACGCUGAGACGCGAAAGCGUGGGGAGCAAACAGG